rnacentral:rRNA from 1 species
GAUGAACGCUGGCGGCGUGCUUAACACAUGCAAGUCGAACGAUGAAGCCCAGCUUGCUGGGUGGAUUAGUGGCGAACGGGUGAGUAACACGUGAGUAACCUGCCCUUGACUCUGGGAUAAGCCUGGGAAACUGGGUCUAAUACUGGAUAUGACUUCUCAUCGCAUGGUGGGGGGUGGAAAGAUUUAUUGGUCUUGGAUGGACUCGCGGCCUAUCAGCUUGUUGGUGAGGUAAUGGCUCACCAAGGCGACGACGGGUAGCCGGCCUGAGAGGGUGACCGGCCACACUGGGACUGAGAUACGGCCCAGACUCCUACGGGAGGCAGCAGUGGGGAAUAUUGCACAAUGGGCGCAAGCCUGAUGCAGCGACGCCGCGUGAGGGAUGACGGCCUUCGGGUUGUAAACCUCUUUCAGUAGGGAAGAAGCGAGAGUGACGGUACCUGCAGAAGAAGCGCCGGCUAACUACGUG